rnacentral:miRNA from 1 species
GUUACAGUUUGGAUGUAAAAUGUCCCCUGCAGGUUUGUGUGUCAAAGACUCUGUGUCCAUGCAAUGUUCCAAGGUGUGGCU